UACCAAUGUCUUUCUUUGGCAAUGCAAUGUACACCCUCCCAAUCUGGGUGGUGUUGCUUCUCCCAAGCAUGUUCUGCCACCGCGGAUGUGUCGGUUCGCUGUAACCGAACAUCGCGCUUGUGUUCAGAAAUGCGUUCAACUAUCGGUCGGGCUGUCUCUCCGAUGUAAGACCCGUUACAUCCCUGGCAAGGAAUGUUGUAUACUACGCCAUCACGUCUGUGAUCAGGGAUAGGGUCUUUGGGGCGUACAAGCUGUUUGCGUAAGGUGGUGUCCGAGCGGAAAACCGUUCGGAUACCGUGACCUUCUAAUCGGCGUUUAAGUUGUUGUGAAAGGCAGA